GUAACGUUAUAGAAGAACAACAUGCCCACCAGCUGUUGUGUGUACGGGUGUACAAAUCGAAAUCCCGAGGAACAUAAUUUUUUUGCAAUUCCCAGAGGAAACAGGCCAUUUCAAAAGCACCGACUGGACCGAGGAUCAUCAAGCAUGCCCGCGUUUGCAGUGCUCAUUUCAUAUCUGGUGAGAUGUCACUGGACCACGACAGUCCUGAUUUUGUGCCCUCUAUUUUUUCAUACACUAAACAAAACCAAAACCCUGAUGCAAAGAUCAAAAGGUACCAAAGAAAAAAGAAAUGGAGUGAAAGACUUCUGGUUGCUUCACCAAAUCAACCUGCUCCUGCUCCUGGAACUCCAGAGGAAUCACCAGCAUGGAUCACAGUCCUACUGAAGAGGACAUCCCAGUCACGAGGACAGAAUACAAUGACCUGAACCUGAGGUACACCGAGCUGAAGAGUGACUACGUCAACCUGCAGGAAAAGUAUCAACAGCUGCGAGAUGAAAAUGAGAGACUUAAAGAGGAGCUGAAGAAGUCUACAUUUUCAUACUCAAAUAUUAAGUGCAACAUGGUACAACUGUUGUUUAUCACUAGAAUAACAUCUGUGCUCUUUGACUGGUUGUGCACCAAAAUUGCAGGAAGUGUAAAAAUAUUCAGCAAGAAGCUCUCUCUACAGGAUCAUCUUUUGAUAGUGUUAAUGAAAUUAAGGUUGCAGCUCAUGGUGCCACCCUUCGCAUUCCAGCUUUCACCAAAGGCAAACGGCAACUUUCUGCACAGGAGGUCGACACAUCAAGACAACUGUCACGUGUCAGGAUACAUGUCGAACGUGUUAUAGGGAGAUGGAAGAACUUCAGAAUUUUGCAGACAAGAAUUCCACUGUCACAGG